rnacentral:rRNA from 1 species
GAGGAAUAUUGGUCAAUGGGGGCAACCCUGAACCAGCCAAGUCGCGUGAAGGAUGAAGGUCUUAUGGAUUGUAAACUUCUUUUAUACAGGAAUAAAUUGGGGGACGUGUCCCCUUUUGCAUGUACUGUAUGAAUAAGGAUCGGCUAACUCCGUGCCAGCAGCCGCGGUAAUACGGAGGAUCCGAGCGUUAUCCGGAUUUAUUGGGUUUAAAGGGUGCGCAGGCGGGAUGUUAAGUCGGCGGUGAAAUUUUGCAGCUCAACUGUAAAAGUGCCUUCGAUACUGGCUUCCUUGAUUGUAGAUGAAGUAGGCGGAAUUUGUGGUGUAGCGGUGAAAUGCUUAGAUAUCACGAGGAACUCCGAUUGCACAGGCAGCUUACUAAACUACAACUGACGCUCAUGCACGAAGGCGUGGG